rnacentral:lncRNA from 13 species
AAAAGUUGUCAACAAAGACAUCUUAAGACAAGAGGUCCUUUGCAUGAUAUGGAAGUGUUGCAGAAAAGGAAGAAAUCAAGUUACAGAGGUGGAUACUCUUUGCAGAUCACAACCAGCUGGCCCUGGGCUCUGCUUUGGCCAGUAACUUUCCCUUCUCAGCCAGAGCAACAUUUUUCAGGUGCUCUUCAAGCAGUGAUAUGAGAUUGAGGAGGGAAUCCAUCACAUCAUGUAGGAGUCAUUGUUUCUCUAAGGCCACUGACUUACCUUCCAAGUAAUAGGUUAUGGAGGCGGUUCCUUGCCAAUAAAUGCAGGUCAACAUCCAGCAAGGGCCACUGGCUUGCUAACAGUUGUGUAAGUGAGCUUGGAAGCCUAUCUUGUCCCGUCCAACCUGAAGAUGACUGCAGCCCCAGCCAGCCAAACGUUGAUGCUUGUGAGAGGCCCUGAGUCAAAGACAUCCAAUUAAGUUGUGCCCAGAUCCUAGUGCCUAAGAAACUCUGAGAAAAUACUUGUUUGUUGUUUUAAGCCACUAAAUUUGGGGACACACUGUUC